AUGCUCUUCAGUUUAGGGGCAAUUAACAUCACUACAGACUGGUGGCAGUUUAUGGAUUUGCACAAGAGAGAACUCACAGAACUAGCACUAUUUACGCUGUCUUUACGGAGGUGUAUCUGGCUGUUUUGUCAGACAUUC
rnacentral:snoRNA from 10 species